rnacentral:rRNA from 1 species
GAAUGCUGACAUAAGUAACGAUAAAGCGGGUGAAAAGCCCGCUCGCCGGAAGACCAAGGGUUCCUGUCCAACGUUAAUCGGGGCAGGGUGAGUCGACCCCUAAGGCGAGGCCGAAAGGCGUAGUCGAUGGGAAACGGGUUAAUAUUCCCGUACUUGGUGUUACUGCGAAGGGGGGACGGAGAAGGCUAUGUUGGCCGGGCGACGGUUGUCCCGGUUUAAGCGUGUAGGUGUGUGUUCCAGGUAAAUCCGGUUCACUUUAACACUGAGGCGUGAUGACGAGGCACUACGGUGCUGAAGCAACAAAUGCCCUGCUUCCAGGAAAAGCCUCUAAGCAUCAGGUAACAUCAAAUCGUACCCCAAACCGACACAGGUGGUCAGGUAGAGAAUACCAAGGCGCUUGAGAGAACUCGGGUGAAGGAACUAGGCAAAAUGGUGCCGUAACUUCGGGAGAAGGCACGCUGAUAUGUAGGUGAAGUCCCUUGCGGAUGGAGCUGAA